GAAACGCGAAAGGUAAUGCGAAUUGCAGAUCAGUGAGUCAUCGAAUAUUUGAACGCACAUUGCGCCUCUCGGUAUUCCGGGAGGCACGCCUGUUCGAGCGCCAUUACACCGUCCAAGCUGCGGCUUGAUGUUGGGCGAGGCCGCGGUCCUGAAGAGGACGGCGGCGCGCCUGGAACGCGUGGGCGGCGGAGGGCAGACCGCGAGCGUAGCAAGACGCAAGUCACCGCUCGGACGGGCCUGCCGGACGUCAGCCGAAGACUUAGUUUGUAUACAAGUUUGGCCUCGGAUCAGGCGGGGAUACCCGCUGAACUUAA
rnacentral:misc_RNA from 1 species